rnacentral:rRNA from 1 species
CGAACGCUGGCGGCGUGCUUAACACAUGCAAGUCGAACGCGAAAGGGACUUCGGUCCUGAGUAAAGUGGCGCACGGGUGAGUAACGCGUAGAUAACCUGUCUUCAUGUCUGGAAUAAUACGCCGAAAGGGGUACUAAUACCGGAUAUCUUGCUUUUCAUAAGUUAUGCAAGCAAAGGUGGCCUCUGCAUAUGCUACUGCAUGAAGAGGGGUCUGCGUACCAUUAGCUAGUAGGUGGGGUAAUGGCCUACCUAGGCGACGAUGGUUAGCGGGUCUGAGAGGAUGAUCCGCCACACUGGCACUGGAACACGGGCCAGACUCCUACGGGAGGCAGCAGUGAGGAAUAUUGCGCAAUGGGGGAAACCCUGACGCAGCGACGCCGCGUGAAGUGAGGAAGGCCUUCGGGUCGUAAAGCUCUGUCAAGAGGAAAGAAGUGUACAAUGGCUAAUACCUGUUGUAUUUGACGGUACCUCUAAAGGAAGCACCGGCUAACUCCGUGCCAGCCGCUGC